GACGAACGCUGGCGGCGUGCUUAACACAUGCAAGUCGAACGGAAAGGCCUCUCUCUUGUGGUACUCUCGUGUCGAACGGGUGAGUAACACGUGAGUGACCUGCGCUUGACUUUUGGAUAACUCCAGGGAACUCGGGCUAAUACCGGAUAUGGGCUCCUGCUGCAUGUGGUGGGUGGUAAAGUUUCGCGGCGUGGGGGUGUGGUCGCGGGGUUUCUGCUUGUUGGUGUGGUAGUGGCUUUCCCAGGCUUUGACGCGUAGCCGGCGCGGGAGGGUGAGAGGCGCCACUGGGACUGAGAUACGGGACCCAGACCUAUGGGAGGCACAGGUGGGGAAUAUUGCACAAUGGGUGCAAGACUGAUGCAGCACCGCCGCGUGUGGGAUAACGCGCUUUUGGUUGUAUACAGCUUUCGCUCCUGACGAAGCUUGGUGUGACGGUAGUGGGUAAAGAAGCCCCGGCUAACUACGUG
rnacentral:rRNA from 1 species